rnacentral:rRNA from 1 species
UAUUGGACAAUGGGCGAAAGCCUGAUCCAGCAAUGCCGCGUGGAUGAAGAAGGUCUUCGGAUUGUAAAGUCCUUUCGGCGGGGACGAUGAUGACGGUACCCGCAGAAGAAGCCCCGGCUAACUUUGUGCCAGCAGCCGCGGUAAUACGAAGGGGGCUAGCGUUGCUCGGAAUGACUGGGCGUAAAGGGCGCGUAGGCGGUUUGGUUCGUUAGGCGUGAAAUUCCUGGGCUCAACCUGGGGACUGCGUUUAAUACAGCCAGACUUGAGUGUGGAAGAGGGUCGUGGAAUUCCCAGUGUAGAGGUGAAAUUCGUAGAUAUUGGGAAGAACACCGGUGGCGAAGGCGGCGACCUGGUCCAUUACUGACGCUGAGGCGCGAAAGCGUGGGGAGCAAACAGG